AAACAAUCCAGAUUAAGCUAUCGAAUGAAAAAGUGAUUGUUAGCUUUACACCAAGAUUUAUCUACAGAUUAAAAAAGUAACAGUGUUUUUGCAUGCCCCAUGCCCCAAUAUGCAUAAAACUACUGCACCCUGCCUUAGUUAAAGCUACCGGUUAUGCAGAGGUAUGCUCUUACAAACUCUGUUCUAACUUCCUGAUUUUUCCUCGUCCAACUAAACUGAUGAUGCAGUUAGCGGACAAGAGAGACAGAGACAUGUUUAUUUAUUUAUUCUUCUACAGGAAAAAUGCCAAACUAGUCCAUAAAUACGCUUUGCACUACUUUGGUGUUUCAUUAAUACAGGAACCUGAUUCUCAUUGGAAGUGCUAGAAAUAUAUUAGGAUAUUAGACUUCCCCAAACGUCCACGCCAAUUUUUAGAGGAUUUGUUGAAUAAACGAUACGUAAUAACUACCGCUAGUACUACUUUCGUGAAUCCCACCGGAGGUUUAAAAGAGCCAUGUGAUUCUUUCAGUAGCCUAAGUUUUGGUGGGAGUUAUCCAUACAUAUACUGGUGGUGAAAAUACCAAUGCUAGGUUUUAUAGUUCAGGUCCAUGCAAGUUGUUCCGAACACCACCUUUAUCCACCAAAAAGAAAGAAAGAAACUACCACUAAUAUUACUCAAACUAGCUCAACUCAACUGAAUUUCAUGUUUUACUAGUUUAGGCAGCUACAAAAAUCAAUUAAUAUCCAUUUAACUCCAUUUGGGAUAUCAAUAAGUUCCUUAAUAAAGGUAAGCUAAAUUAAUUUCCAGUAAGAACUCACCACCAGAAGAUCAUACAAUACAUCUAGCAACAGAAUUGCAUAUAAUCAGAAGACAAACAAAAAUAAAAAGAUUGCACUUUUACUCCCUCAGUUACUGCCAAAUCGUGAUGUUAGUCCUUGUGAUAUAAGAAUCAUAUUUAUCCUUCCAUUAAUCGAAGCGUGCAAAUUCAGUCCAAUGUGAAAGUACAGGUUCUAAUUAUUCAAAACUUAACUAGCUUGAAAUUGAAACCUAAUCGAAGCGUGCAAAUUCAGUCCAAUGUGAAAGUACAGGUUCUAAUUAUUCAAAGCUUAACUGCUUAGUCAAGGAUUCAAUAUAAAAAUUUACCAGCAGAUGAGGGCCAAAGUUGCAAUUAUCUAACAAAAAGUAAAAAAGAAGGAAGAGAAGAAUUACUUGACGAGGGUGAGACCAGUAUUCCCACAGUGAAGGCAACUAAAGGGAGCAGGCGUAUCUCUGUAAAUAGUUUGCUGAAUCGGAAUACCUUUGGGAUCUCCAUAUAUGACGUUUGAUGGAAUCAUGCCUGCUUGAUAAGGGUUUUCAGCCACGUAAUAUUGCUGGUGGUGGAUUUGCUGAGGCAUCGGAGCCUGGUUAUAAGCCGGAUUGUAGGGGAUUCCUAUCGCUGGUUCCUCGUACUUCGACAUCUCCGAUGAUCGAUGAUCUGAUUACUAUGCGAAUGACGGCUUAGAAUUUAGACUUUGUCCACUGGUUCAUCGUACUUCGACAUCUCCGAUGAUCGAUGAUCUGAUUAUUAUGCGAAUGACGGUAUAGAAUUUAGACUUUGUGUUUGAUAAUUUGUUUUAUCUCCGGUACUACGCGUUUGUAGAAUUGUAUUCUUAUAGGGCCAACUUUGGUUUUCUAGAAAAAUUGACUUUGAAUUGUAUGGCAUUUAUCGUUGACCUCAUCUACGUGUUUUUUUUUUAUUAUUGGUUGAUUCGGGGUCUCUGACUUUUGAUAUUACUAUUUUCCAAUGAAGGAACCUAGGCGGGAAAAACUUAUUCGCGCUGUAUGUUUACGCCAAGUCAAUUAAUGUAACACAUAUUCCUUAUAUAUAUGCUUUGGGAAAUUUUUUAAUUUAUUUGUUAAUUUUUAAAAUUAAUUAUCUAGUUAAUUGUACUUUUUCCCUUUCAAUUACUUCAAUUAGCACUUUUUUUAAAAGUAUUUCGGUCCUCUUUGAACCCUUUUUUUUGGAGCUACUACUCAUUUGGUGACUCGAACUCAGGAUUCUAAAAUUGCCGGUGGGGGUGCUGACUAUCUUGCCCUUUCAAUUAGUACUUCGUUUGUGUGUUUUUCUGUUUUUUUCUUUUUUUACUUUCCAUUAUUGUUCUUGUCCCAAACUCCCAUAUUAAGAUAAUUUGUAUGAUUAUUUCAAAACUUUUGAAACAAGUCAUUUAAAAAUAAUGAAUGGAAAAUAUUUUGGAAAAAAAUACAUACCAAUAGCUAAGUAAUACAGAAAUAUAUUGUUGAUAGUCUUUAGAUUAUUACGAGUCAAAGUUUGCUAAGAGACGAUUAAUCAUAAUUCGAACUACAAUGCAUGUCACAAGGUUAGCAACUAGUUUGUUGCAUUCCCAAUCUCAAUUGAGAUUGCUCAUUUACAUGUUAACUAUGUGAAAGAAAAAAGAACAAAAGACUUUGUAUUCAAUUGAUUUAUUACAUUAAGACGAAAUAAAAUGAAGCAAGAAUUUGGUAACAGAAAUGCUAUCAAGAAGGUGAGGAUAAUUAAGUCUGUAAUCACAGCCCGUGACGAGGUUUGGAAAACUUGAUAUUUCUAGAUGAUGUACUGCUCUUUUUUGUUUUACGAAUUACUUCCUUCUUAUAACUACCUAGUUUGCGAGUUAAUAUAUAUAUAUAUAUAUAUAUAUGGUGGUGAAAAUACCAAUGCUAGGUUUUAUAGUUCAGGUCCAUGCAAGUUGUUCCGAACACCACCUUUAUCCACCAAAAAGAAAGAAAGAAACUACCACUAAUAUUACUCAAACUAGCUCAACUCAACUGAAUUUCAUGUUUUACUAGUUUAGGCAGCUACAAAAAUCAAUUAAUAUCCAUUUAACUCCAUUUGGGAUAUCAAUAAGUUCCUUAAUAAAGGUAAGCUAAAUUAAUUUCCAGUAAGAACUCACCACCAGAAGAUCAUACAAUACAUCUAGCAACAGAAUUGCAUAUAAUCAGAAGACAAACAAAAAUAAAAAGAUUGCACUUUUACUCCCUCAGUUACUGCCAAAUCGUGAUGUUAGUCCUUGUGAUAUAAGAAUCAUAUUUAUCCUUCCAUUAAUCGAAGCGUGCAAAUUCAGUCCAAUGUGAAAGUACAGGUUCUAAU
rnacentral:lncRNA from 1 species